UGGGGAAUAUUGCACAAUGGGGGAAACCCUGAUGCAGCGACGCCGCGUGAGCGAUGAAGGCUUUCGAGUCGUAAAGCUCUGUCCUAUGGGAAGAUAAUGACGGUACCAUAGAAGAAAGCCCCGGCUAAUCACGUGCCAGCAGCCGCGGUAAUACGUAAGGGGCGAGCGUUGUCCGGAAUUAUUGGGCGUAAAGAGUGCGUAGGCGGCAAAUUAAGUCAGAUGUGAAAACUAAGGGCUCAACCCAUAGAUUGCAUCUGAAACUGAUAUGCUUGAGUCAAGGAGAGGAAAGUGGAAUUCCUAGUGUAGCGGUGGAAUGCGUAGAUAUUAGGAGGAAUACCGGUGGCGAAGGCGACUUUCUGGAAUUGAACUGACGCUGAGGCACGAAAGCGUGGGGAGCAAACAGG
rnacentral:rRNA from 1 species